GCGGCGCGGCGGGCAGCGGCGCGCUUACGGCGCGAGGAAAGUCCGGGCUACAGUUCAGGCACGGUUCCGCCUAACGGACGGCUAGGGCAACCUAAGGGAAAGUGCAACAGAGAGUAAACCGCCUUAGGGCAAGGGUGAAACGGUGGUGUAAGAGACCACCAGCGCUUUAGGUAACUUCAGCGGCUGGUAAACCCAACCGGUAGCAAGGAGCGUCUGGUUAAAGCCUGAUCAAUUUGAGCGCUCCGCUGUAUCUCUCUGGCAACAGGGAGAAUAGAGAAAUCGCUGUCCGCGACAGAACCCGGCUUACAGCCGCGCCGCGAUU
rnacentral:RNase_P_RNA from 1 species